rnacentral:rRNA from 1 species
AAGGGCACCACAAGAACGCGUGGAGCAUGUGGCUUAAUUUGACUCAACGCGGGAAAUCUUACCGGGUCCGGACACACUGAGGGUUGACAGGUGUUUCGUAAAGUUAACGGUUUAGUAAUUGUUUGUGCCUUCACGGGUAUUUGCUUUUAUUGGGCUUUUUCAUUUACAUUUCAAAUAUGCUAGUCCUUUCAUGAUUGUGUGAUAGGUGGUGCAUGGCCGUUCUUAGUUCGUGGAGUGAUCUGUCUGCUUAAUUGCGUUUCACUAUUGGCGUGAGUGAGUUAUUAUAGUUCUUUCGUGACCUCAUUAUUUCAUUUAAUAUGUUAUUUUGAUUGCGUCCGGUUCUAUAUGCUUGCCAUCGCCACGAAGGCAACGAACGUGACCGCAACCUCUUGUUGCCUCCCUUGAGCAUUAUAGUUGAAAUUCUCAAUUUAUUUGAGUUAUUUCUUUAUAUUUGCCACAGUCUUAUAAGUGAUUCUUUUAUCUUUUUUUAAACGGAAAGGUAUUUGUAAUUUACUAUAUGUUUUUUACUGCAGUGGAGGGAAACUAGAGGGACCGCUGACAUUUCUUAAACCAGAGAAGGUUGCGGCAAUAACAGGUCUGUGAUGCCUUAGAUGUUCCGGGCUGCACACGUGCUACAAUGAUUAUUGCAGUGAGCAUCUUACCCAGUUCGUGUGCACAGUUGCAGCUUUACCAUCAAGUAUGUUUCUUUGUUUUUGUGCUUGGUGUUUCUCUUAGGAGUAUAUCUUGUGCAUUUGCAUUGUUUCAUGCUGGUAACUCUCUGAUGCAUUUGUUUUUAUUUAGUAAUUAUUGCUUAGUUGUAGUGUUGCUUUAUAAUUUUUAUAACUUUAACGACUAGGCUACUUCGAAAGUAAGUAGCUAAUCAAUUCGAAGUAAUGAUUUCCUUUUAUUUUUAUAUUUUAUAGCACAAUUUACAUGUCCAUAGUCUUUUAUAGGUGGCGCCUUGCGUGUUGCUUUAUAAUGCUAUUGUUUGGCAUGUGCUCCAUUAAUUCGUGGUGGGGACAGACCAUUGUUAAUUGUUGGUCUCGUCUUAACUAGGAAUGCCUUGUACGGGUCUUUGGUUCAACAGACCACCCGGAAUAUGUCCCUGCCCUUUGUACACACCGCCCGUCGCUCUUACCGAUGGACUUCUCUGUGAGUUUGAGGGACUGGAAGCCAUUAAGUUAUUUAUUUAGCUUAAUAAUUUAUUCUAUGGAAACUUAAACGAACAGUGUGGUCUAAAGGAAAGAGAAGUCGUAACAAGGCAUCGGUAGGUGAACCU